UGGCUUAUGAAACAGAAGCGAUAAUCUCACUUGAGAUCAGAUUAUCAUCAGCGAGGGUGGAGCAAUACAGUGAGCCGAGCAAUUUAGAAUAUCAGAGAGCCAAUCUAUAUCUACUUUCAAAAGUCCGACAACAAGCUCAAGUUCGGAUGGCAGCAUAUCGAUAAAGAAUAGCUCGGUAUUAUAAUGCAAAAGUUAAGCCGAAGAUCUUCUGUCAAGGAGAUCUAGUCCUAAGGAAAGCAGAAGUUUCAAGACCUCUGGAUCAGAAAAAGUUAUCUUCGAAUUGAGAAGAGCCUUACAAAAUAACUGAGACACUU
rnacentral:lncRNA from 1 species